rnacentral:rRNA from 1 species
AUUGAACGCUGGCGGCAGGCCUAACACAUGCAAGUCGAACGCGUGGCGGAUGGGUGAGUAAUGUCUGGGAAACUGCCUGAUGGAGGGGGAUAACUACUUGAAACGGUAGCUAAUACCGCAUACCAUCAGAUGUGCCCGGAUGGGAUUAGCUUGUUGGAGGGGUAACGGUUCACCAAGGCCACGAUCCCUUGCUGGGCUGAGAGGAUGACCAGCCACACUGGAACUGAGACACGGUCCAGACUCCUACGUGAGGCAGCAGUGGGGAAUAUUACACAAUGGGCGCAAGCCUGAUGCAGCCAUGCCGCGUGUAUGAACAAGGCCUUCGGGUUGUAAAGUACUUUCAGCGGGGAGGCAUUACCCGCAGAAGAAGCACCGGCUAACUCCGUGCCAGCAGCCGCGGUAAUUC